UUAGCAUGUGCGCGAGUCAUUGGGUGGAAAACCUAAAGGCGCAAUGAAAGUGAAAGGGGCCUCUGGCCUCCGAGGGAAGAUGGGCGUCCGGCCUUCGCAGGCAGCGCCCCGCACUUCUAGGGCAUCUCUUUCUCGUCACGAGUCCACACGCUGAUUCUCGAAAGAUGGUGAACUAUGCCUGGCCAAGGGAAACCCUGGGGGAGGUCCGCAGCGAUUCUGACGUGCAAAUCGAUUGUCGGAGCUGGGUAAAGGGGCGAAAGACCAAUCAAACCAUCUAGUAGCUGG
rnacentral:misc_RNA from 13 species